rnacentral:rRNA from 1 species
GACGGAAGGUGCAAGCGUUGCUCGGAAUCACUGGGCGUAAAGGGUGCGUAGGCGGUCUAUUAAGUCAGUGCUGAAAUAUCCCGGCUUAACCGGGAGGGUGGCAUUGAUACUGAUGGACUUGAGUAAAGUUGAGGUUGGCGGAAUUGACGGUGUAGCGGUGAAAUGCUUAGAUAUCGUCAAGAACACCUAUUGCGAAGGCAGCUAACUAAGCUUAAACUGACGCUGAGGCACGAAAGUGUGGGGAUCAAACAGG